AAGUCCAGGCCUGUGUUCCAGAUGUACAGCUCUGAUGUGGUUUCAGUGGAGCGACUCUCUCUGAUCGUGAUGAUGUGUUUCUCCUCUCAGUCGACGGACUGCAGUGUUACGGCUGUAACGUCUUCCACGGGCAGAAGUAUGUGGACGUGGGCUGCACUAAUCCAGAGGUCAUCACGUGCACGCACUCGCACAAGGGCUUCAAGCAUCGCUUCUGCAUCAGGACCGAGAGCACGGCACUGGGCAUCGUCCUCACUAGUGGCUGUGCCACCUCACGCCACUGCCAGCAGCAAGAACUGCCUGGAGUCUCCAUCCACUGCUGUGACUCGGACCUGUGCAACAGCGCCACCCACCAGCCAGCACAUUCACUGCAACAUGCACUGCUGCUGCUACUGCUGGCACGGAUGUGCUUAUGAUUCACUGCAUGAUGACCUCUGAGAAAGAGAAAGUGGACAGAAUGUUGGGCAGCCAGAUACUCCACACAGUCUUCCGUCUACGUAAAACUACCCUUUAUGUGUGUUCAUUGUAGUAUUAGUGUAGAACUAGUUGUUGCUCUCUCUCUCUCUCUCUCUCUCUCUCUCUCUCUCUCUGUGUGUGUGUGUGUGUGUGUGUGAGUGCAGCGGCACUGGGCAUCGUCCUCACUAGUGGCUGUGCCACCUCACGCCACUGCCAGCAGCAAGAACUGCCUGGAGUCUCCAUCCACUGCUGUGACUCGGACCUGUGCAACAGCGCCACCCACCAGCCAGCACAUUCACUGCAACAUGCACUGCUGCUGCUACUGCUGGCACGGAUGUGCUUAUGAUUCACUGCAUGAUGACCUCUGAGAAAGAGAAAGUGGACAGAAUGUUGGGCAGCCAGAUACUCCACACAGCUUCCUCUGUAAAACACCCUUUAUGUGUGUUCAUUGUGAUUAUGUGAACAGUUGUUCUAUCAGAUAAUAGGUUCUGUUCUGCUGGUUAGCACUGAACUUAACAGUCCUGUUCUGCAUGUACAUACGUACUAAUUAUAGUAAUUACAAUAACUGGUAAUCACUAGGUACUAUUACUGAACUGAACCCACUGAUUUAAAUGAAGAUCAUCUUCAUGUUAAAGGUCACAGUUCAUUUUCAUCGAAAAAAUGAAAAUGUUCUGUUAAUCUACUCAUCCUCAGGCCAUCCAAGAUGUAGAUGACAUUUGUUCUUCAGUAGAACAGUAAAGACCAUUUUAAGCUGAAACUGUGGGCCUUGGUGAUUAAUAAAAUAGAAUAGAAUCCUUUAAUAAAUGAACUCAUUCUGCGCUUCAGUUCCUACAACAGUCACUGAACUGGGGAAACAGUUUGACUCGUACCAAAGACUGAUGAGCCAAUGAUAUGAGCGUGAUUAAACUGAGCACUUUAACGAAGGGGUAAAUGAAAGUUUUUAUGGUUUCUCUUUGUUUAUGCAAAAAAGGUGAGCUGAUGAAGACUAGUUUAUUUACUUAUAUGCUUUUUGACAUGCUUUAGACAUGUAAAACAUCCAUGUUUAACAUCAUUAUUGGGUGCUUUAAUAAUAUAAUUGUGCAUACAUGAUUACAUGUAAACAAACUGGUGAAUCAGUUAUUUGAACCAGUUAAUUGAAAUAACCUGUCUGAAAGAUCCAGUUCAUAGAAAAGCAUCAGAUAUCCCCGUUUGUCUAAGGCUAUGGAUUACAUGUAAUGUUGUAAAUAAUGUUAGGUAAAAAAAAUGUGUAGCCUGAAUGCACUGUAAGUCGCUUUGGAUAAAAGCGUCUGCUAAAUGCAUAAAUGUAAUGUAAAUGUAAUGUUCAGUUUCUUGCACAGACUGAUCAUUUUGCUUCAUAAGACCUCAAUAUAUCAUCAGGAGCCACAGGUAUUAAUUUUGUGUUGCCUGAUAUGUUUUUUGUUUUUUUUGUUUUUUGACUCUCAAAGUGUCGGUAGCUGUUGACUUGCAUUUUAUGUAUCCCAAAGGACCACGAUUUCAGCUAAAAUCUUCUUUACUGUUCUACUAAAGAAAAACAGUCACCUACAUCUUUGAUGUUAAAUUUACAGUAUAGCAAAUUUUAAUUGCUGGGUGAACUAUCCCUUUAAAUCCCUUUUAAGUGUUGUUAAUUUAUAGUAUCCAGUAUACUGUAAGUGCACAUACUGUAACAUGAAGUGCAGGUGAACUUCGUAUCUUUGUAAAUACUGAUGUUUUGUUGUUGUUCAGCCUGUGAACUCAAGUAUAUAUCAGAAAAAAUCUAAAUGUGAUCAUCACACAUUACCACAUAUACUGUCAUUUAUUUUCUGUGAAUGUGUGCUCAGUAAACAGUAUUUGAUCUUCCUAUAACAGACAGAUUUUAAGGAGUCAAAGUUAAGUCGGUAUGAAUGCAUUUUAUGCAUGCUCUUGCUCUUAUUGAUUGUCAUAUAUCUGUUAAAGAACCAUUUUUAAAAUUGAGUUUAAAAGGAAAUAUAGCCAUCCUUUGUGAUUAUGUGAACUGUUUUGAAAUCAUCUUAAUAAACAAAAAUCUGAAGGCUUCUGGAAACAUUUUG
rnacentral:lncRNA from 1 species